rnacentral:rRNA from 1 species
ACUCCUACGGGAGGCAGCAGUGGGGAAUAUUGCACAAUGGGGGAAACCCUGAUGCAGCAACGCCGCGUGAGUGAUGAAGGCCUUCGGGUUGUAAAGCUCUGUCCUUGGGGACGAUAAUGACGGUACCCAAGGAGGAAGCCACGGCUAACUACGUGCCAGCAGCCGCGGUAAUACGUAGGUGGCAAGCGUUGUCCGGAUUUACUGGGCGUAAAGGGAGCGUAGGUGGAUAUUUAAGUGGGAUGUGAAAUACUCGGGCUUAACCUGGGUGCUGCAUUCCAAACUGGAUAUCUAGAGUGCAGGAGAGGAAAGUAGAAUUCCUAGUGUAGCGGUGAAAUGCGUAGAGAUUAGGAAGAAUACCAGUGGCGAAGGCGACUUUCUGGACUGUAACUGACACUGAGGCUCGAAAGCGUGGGGAGCAAACAGGAUUAGAUACCCUGGUAGUC